rnacentral:lncRNA from 1 species
AAAAAAAUAGCUCCCAUUGGCCAGGGAUUUAGCUACCAAAAAAAAAAAACUUUUACAAAGAUUUAAAAUAGCUCCCAUCGAGGGCCGGGGAUUUAGCUCAGUGGUUCCACCGCCUGCCUCGCAAGCGCAAGGACCCAAGUUCGAUCCCCGGUACCAAAACAAACAAAUAAAAUAUCUCCCAUUAUUUGAUGGUAUAACAUCAAAGGAUUAAAAACAAAACAUACUAAAACUAUUUUGGAUUAAUAUUCUGUGUGUUUUCAUUAUUUUUCAUAAACACCUUUCUAUAAACUUGUAGGGUAUUAUGACAUUUAAGAGAAACUUUAACUCCACUUUGCAGAUUUGACAGAAAGGAGGGCAUUUUUGCCAGAAUAUAUUCUUCAAAACUCCGGGGGGGGGCGGCUCAGAGAAUCAUUUCUAAAUGGAUGAGAAAAUUCCUUUCUCUCUUUUUUUUUUUUUUUAGUACCAGGGAUCGAACUUGGGACCUUACACUUGCGAGGCAGGCACAGUGCCAUUGAGCUAAAUCCCCUGCUCCUCCUUUCUACUUUAAUAAAAUUACAGAAUUCUCUUCCCCUCCUCUCUCAUCUUUUCCCUUCUGAAUUUAGAUAUUUUUUCAUUUCAGCUCAGGAAAAGUAGGAAGAGCAGAACCCACAGUGACCUUGCUCCUGACACUGGAGAUUCUGCCCUUGAACCCUAAAGAUGAUUCUUGUUCUCUUUGAGCCUUAAGGGUUCCUCCGCAUCUGGAUGUGCAGACAGGUCCUUAUCCAAAACUUCAUUUUUCAGCCCACUGUGCAGUUUUCCUUGAGCUAUCUGUGUCUUCAAGCAACCCAAAGUCUCCUUAUUCCCAAUCACAGUCUCCUCUGCUUUAAGACAUGUCCUCUGGUUUGGUUCUCUCUGAACAACUACUGUUAAUCGUUGAGCAUCCUCAUAAGAUCUCUCUUGGUCUUGAAGGCAGUAAUCUAAUUUUAAUCUUCUUUUAUCCAUUUAUUUUCUUAAACUGAUUUUCUGUAAUUGCCCAUGGUCAAUAUUUGUGCAGAGUUUUAAAAUUUAUAAAUUAAACUUCAAC